AUUGAACGCUGGCGGCAGGCCUAACACAUGCAAGUCGAACGGUAACAGGAAGCAGCUUGCUGCCUCGCUGACGAGUGGCGGACGGGUGAGUAAUGUCUGGGAAACUGCCUGAUGGAGGGGGAUAACUACUGGAAACGGUAGCUAAUACCGCAUAACGUCGAAAGACCAAAGAGGGGGACCUUCGGGCCUCUUGCCAUCAGAUGUGCACAGAUGGGAUUAGCUAGUAGGUGGGGUAACGGCUCACCUAGGCGACGAUCCCUAGCUGGUCUGAGAGGAUGACCAGCCACACUGGAACUGAGACACGGUCCAGACUCCUACGGGAGGCAGCAGUGGGGAAUAUUGCACAAUGGGCGCAAGCCUGAUGCAGCCAUGCCGCGUGUAUGAAGGAGGCCUUCGGGUUGUAAAGUACUUUCAGCGGGGAGGAAGGCGAUGUGGUUAAUAACCGCGUCGAUUGACGUUACCCGCAGAAGAAGCACCGGCUAACUCCGUGCCAGCCGCCGCGGUAA
rnacentral:rRNA from 1 species